rnacentral:rRNA from 1 species
CGCCAGACUCCUACGGGAGGCAGCAGUGGGGAAUAUUGCACAAUGGGGGAAACCCUGAUGCAGCGACGCCGCGUGAGUGAAGAAGUAUUUCGGUAUGUAAAGCUCUAUCAGCAGGAAAGAAAAUGACGGUACCUGACUAAGAAGCCCCGGCUAACUACGUGCCAGCAGCCGCGGUAAUACGUAGGGGGCAAGCGUUAUCCGGAUUUACUGGGUGUAAAGGGAGCGUAGACGGUGAAGCAAGUCUGAAGUGAAAGCCCCGGGCUUAACCCGGGAAUUGCUUUGGAAACUGUACGGCUGGAGUGCUGGAGAGGUAAGCGGAAUUCCUAGUGUAGCGGUGAAAUGCGUAGAUAUUAGGAGGAACACCAGUGGCGAAGGCGGCUUACUGGACAGUAACUGACGUUGAGGCUCGAAAGCGUGGGGAGCAAACAGGAUUAGAUACCCGCGUAA